CUUCAGCGAGCCCAGCCACAGCGGCCGGCCGUCGGCGGGCCGCUCCUGGCCGUAGGUGGCGAUCAGCGCCUGCGCCUC
rnacentral:antisense_RNA from 1 species